GACGAACGCUGGCGGCGUGCUUAACACAUGCAAGUCGAACGGAAAGGCUCCAGCUUGCUGGAGUGCUCGAGUGGCGAACGGGUGAGUAACACGUGGGCAAUCUGCCCUGCACUCUGGGAUAAGCCUGGGAAACUGGGUCUAAUACCGGAUAGGACCUUUCUCCUCAUGGGGUUUGGUGGAAAGUUUUUCGGUGCAGGAUGAGCCCGCGGCCUAUCAGCUUGUUGGUGGGGUAAUGGCCUACCAAGGCGACGACGGGUAGCCGGCCUGGGAGGGUGAUCGGCCACAUUGGGACUGGGAUACGGCCCAGACUCCUACGGGAGGCAGCAGUGGGGAAUAUUGCACAAUGGGCGAAAGCCUGUUGCAGCGACGCCGCGUGAGGGAUGACGGCCUUCGGGUUGUAAACCUCUUUCAGUAGGGACGAAGCGCAAGUGACGGUACCUGCAGAAGAAGCACCGGCUAACUACGUG
rnacentral:rRNA from 1 species